rnacentral:rRNA from 1 species
GAUGAACGCUGGCGGCGUGCCUAAUACAUGCAAGUCGAGCGAACGGACGAGAAGCUUGCUUCUCUGAUGUUAGCGGCGGACGGGUGAGUAACACGUGGAUAACCUACCUAUAAGACUGGGAUAACUUCGGGAAACCGGAGCUAAUACCGGAUAAUAUUUUGAACCGCAUGGUUCAAAAGUGAAAGACGGUCUUGCUGUCACUUAUAGAUGGAUCCGCGCUGCAUUAGCUAGUUGGUAAGGUAACGGCUUACCAAGGCAACGAUGCAUAGCCGACCUGAGAGGGUGAUCGGCCACACUGGAACUGAGACACGGUCCAGACUCCUACGGGAGGCAGCAGUAGGGAAUCUUCCGCAAUGGGCGAAAGCCUGAUGGAGCAACGCCGCGUGAGUGAUGAAGGUUUUCGGAUCGUAAAACUCUGUUAUUAGGGAAGAACAUAUGUGUAAGUAACUGUGCACAUCUUGACGGUACCUAAUCAGAAAGCCACGGCUAACUACGUG